rnacentral:rRNA from 1 species
UGAGGAAUAUUGGUCAAUGGGCGAGAGCCUGAACCAGCCAUGCCGCGUGCGGGAUGACGGCUCUAUGAGUUGUAAACUGCUUUUGUAAAGGGGUAAAGGACAGUACGUGUACUGUGAUGAAAGUACUUUACGAAUAAGGACCGGCUAACUCCGUGCCAGCAGCCGCGGUAAUACGGAGGGUCCGAGCGUUAUCCGGAUUUAUUGGGUUUAAAGGGAGCGUAGGCGGAUUGAUAAGUCAGGUGUGAAAUCUGGGGGCUCAACCCCCAAACUGCACUUGAAACUGUGGUUCUUGAGUGAUGGAGAGGCAAGUGGAAUUCCUAGUGUAGCGGUGAAAUGCGUAGAUAUUAGGAGGAACACCAGUGGCGAAGGCGACUUGCUGGACAUUAACUGACGCUGAGGCGCGAAAGCGUGGGGAGCAAACA